UACGGAGGGUGCAAGCGUUAAUCGGAAUUACUGGGCGUAAAGCGCACGCAGGCGGUCUGUCAAGUCGGAUGUGAAAUCCCCGGGCUCAACCUGGGAACUGCAUUCGAAACUGGCAGGCUAGAGUCUUGUAGAGGGGGGUAGAAUUCCAGGUGUAGCGGUGAAAUGCGUAGAGAUCUGGAGGAAUCCCGGUGGCGAAGGCGGCCCCCUGGACAAAGACUGACGCGCAGGUGCGAAAGCGUGGGGAGCAAACAGGAUUAGAUACCCUGGUAGUCCACGCCGUAAACGAUGUCGAUUGGGAGGUUGUGCCCUUGAGGCGUGGCUUCCGGAGCUAACGCGUUAAAUCGACCGCCUGGGGAGUACGGCCGCAAGGUUAAA
rnacentral:rRNA from 1 species